rnacentral:ncRNA from 1 species
CACCGCCCGUCACACCAUGGGAGUGGGUUGCUCCAGAAGUGGCUAGCUUAACCUUCGGGAGAGCGGUCACCACGGAGUGAUUCAUGACUGGGGUGAAGUCGUAACAAGGUAGCCCUAGGGGAACCUGGGGCUG